CUUGGAACAAGAAGAUAGGUUUGAAGCUGGUUAACAUAUUUACCAGCAUUACCAGGUGUUUCUGGGCCUAUUUUCUGUGAGGCUGUAAGACACCAAGGAGAAAGGAGUUGACGACUGAAGACAAGGUUGUCAGUGAUUGCUGGGUUCCUGCAAGUGUAGAAUGCAAACAGAGAAGCCACAGCACAGAAGGAAGAGAAUUUCACAAGAUUAUGGACUUUCCUCUUUCUCUGGGUACCUCGGUGGAAUUGGAGGAAAAAUUAUUAACACAAUACUACAGCUUGCAGUUGCAAGGGAACUGUAUUUGUGCACUAGGCAGUUUAAGAGAAGGAGACUGAUACUCUGCAAAUGAUGGCAGAAGAAGA
rnacentral:lncRNA from 1 species